UACGGGAGGCAGCAGUGGGGAAUAUUGCACAAUGGGCGCAAGCCUGAUGCAGCCAUGCCGCGUGUAUGAAGAAGGCCUUCGGGUUGUAAAGUACUUUCAGUCGUGAGGAAGGUGUUAAGGUUAAUAACCUUAGCAAUUGACGUUAGCGACAGAAAAAAGCACCGGCUAACUCCGUGCCAGCAGCCGCGGUAAUACGGAGGGUGCGAGCGUUAAUCGGAAUUACUGGGCGUAAAGGGCACGCAGGCGGUUAAUUAAGUUGGAUGUGAAAUCCCCGGGCUUAACCUGGGAAUGGCAUUCAAGACUGGUUAGCUAGAGUCUUGUAGAGGGGGUAGAAUUCCAUGUGUAGCGGUGAAAUGCGUAGAGAUGUGGAGGAAUACCGGUGGCGAAGGCGGCCCCUGGGACAAAGACUGACGCUCAUGUGCGAAAGCGUGGGGAGCGAAACAGGGAUUAGAUACC
rnacentral:rRNA from 1 species